CCUACGGGAGGCAGCAGUGAGGAAUAUUGGUCAAUGGACGAGAGUCUGAACCAGCCAAGUAGCGUGAAGGAUGACUGCCCUAUGGGUUGUAAACUUCUUUUAUAUGGGAAUAAAAUGUUCCACGUGUGGGAUUUUGUAUGUACCAUAUGAAUAAGGAUCGGCUAACUCCGUGCCAGCAGCCGCGGUAAUACGGAGGAUCCGAGCGUUAUCCGGAUUUAUUGGGUUUAAAGGGAGCGUAGGUGGAUUGUUAAGUCAGUUGUGAAAGUUUGCGGCUGAACCGUAAAAUUGCAUGUGAAACUGGCAGUCUUGAGUACAGUAGAGGUGGGCGGAAUUCGUGGUGUAGCGGUGAAAUGCUUAGAUAUCACGAAGAACUCCGAUUGCGAAGGCAGUUCACUGGACUGCAACUGACACUGAGGCUCGAAAGUGUGGGUAUCAAACAGGAUUAGAUACCCGAGUAGUC
rnacentral:rRNA from 1 species